AAGGCUGAAAACAACCCACUCUAUUGCAGGGAAAGGGAAGGAUUAAUGAAAAAUGUCAGUUUCUUAAGUCAGCACUGGUGAAACUUUCAGCCUAGAAGGAUUCCAGGGCUAUUGGUUCAACCAGUUUGUUAGGGAUCUGGGGAUAACAAGAAAGGGCUCUGUUAGAGUCUACAGAAAAUUCUCUCUUAAUAAAAGGACCUUCGGAAUGACAAGCCCUCCUCUUACCCCACAUAGAACAAUUCCAAAGCAAA
rnacentral:lncRNA from 1 species